UCCUCACUUCCUGACAAAACUUUUUUCCUCACUUCCUGACAAAACUUUUUUCCUCACUUCCUGACAAAACUUUUUUCCUCACUUCCUGACAAAACUUUUUUCCUCACUUCCUGACAAAACUUUUUUCCUCACUUCCUGUCAAAACUUUUUUUUCCUCACUUCCUGACAAAACUUUUUUCCUCACUUCCUGACAAAACUUUUUUCCUCACUUCCUGACAAAACUUUUUUCCUCACUUCCUGACAAAACUUUUUCCUCACUUCCUGACAAAACUUUAUGCAACACUUCUUUCCUCAAUCGUACCACUUCACUUCUGUUGCAAUAUGUAUUUGGUGACUACUAACAUCGACACUUCACAUCCACGAAGCGUUCUCACUACACAUUUUCUUUCGUUUCCCUUCCUGACCAAGCUUCGUUCAACCCUUCCUUCCUCGCUCCACUUCGCUUCUAUUGUUUUGUGUAUCGUUCACUGCCUCGUUAACGCUUCACUUCGGCUCCUCGUAACACUCCAAGAGCCUUUUCCCUUCCCUUCGCUUUCCUGGCAAAACUUUCUUCAACACUUCCUUCCUCGCUUCCACUUCGCUUCUAUUGUUUUGUGUAUCGUUCACUGCCUCGUUAACGCUUCACCUCGGCUCCUCGUAACACUCACAAGAGCUUUUUCCCUUCCCUUCGCUUUCCUGGCAAAACUUUCUUCAACACUUCCGUCCUCGUUACCACUUCACUAACGCCACUUCUGUUGCUAUAUAUUCUAUUAUAUUGCUCACUUCAUCGGCCACACACACACUCCUCCACACUUCAGCUCAGAUUCAUGUCACACUGCAACAGGUUUUCCCUUCAAUUCGCUUCACUGAUAAUUUAUAUAUAACCCCUUUUUCAAUAUUUCGUUCCCAGCCCCACUUCACUAGGCUUCUGGUAUGUAUUGUUCACUUCAUCAAUAACACACAAACCUCUACACUUCAUCUCACGUCCAUGUAACACACACUCAACACUUAACUUCGCUUCAGUUCCCUAGUAUCCCUUUUUUUCAGCAUUUCCUCCCUCGCCCCACUUCACUAGGCUUCUGAUAUGUAUUGUUCACUUCAUCAAUAACACACAAACCUAUACACUUCAUCUCACGUCCAUGUAACACACACUCAACACUUAACAUCGCUUCAGUUCCCUAGUAUCCCUUUCUUUCAGCAUUUUCUCCCUCGCCCCACUUCAAUACACUUCUUAAAACAGCAUCUCUUGUCUUACUAAUAUUACCCACUUCAUUCUGUAAUCUAAACCCACUGGAGAACUUAAAACAAUACUACUAAAAUAACGCAUUUCCACUUAAACCAAACUCGCAUUCUUCGUAUAAAACAGAGAUACAAGACAAGUAAAAAUCCAACGUCUACCCAGAAUGAGAGAGAGAGAGAGAGAGAGAGGACAAGGAUGUAUUAUUAUAGUGUGUGUGUGGUUGGGGACGGUUAGGCAAGGCAACACACCCCCAGCCACCUCGUUCUUGAUUGGCUGUUUUUGAAGGCGUGACGCGGCGAGGCCAAUCACACGCCACGGGUAGAUGGAGUCGCUUUAACGGUACACUGCGUCAGACUUAAUUUCUUAGGACAGAGUUAGUUUAAAAGGCGCCAGAUUUUAAAAAGGUUGUAUUAGUGUUUGUUAUGUGGUUCGUUUAGCUUUUUUUUUUACUUCUAUCUUUGGGACGGCGUUAGUUUAGAAGUGUUUGAUUUUCGUGGAGUUAAGAUUACGUAUUUCAAGCUCAGUCGUAAAAGAUGAUGUAUAAAACGGUCAACGAAAACAAGUAACUAACUACGCCUUGGAUAACGGGUGAAGAAAGGAUAGAUCUGCCAAUGAAUGAAAGGAAAAUAAAAGAAAGGCAAUUAGUGAGCGAGUAAAGUAUAAAAAAGACGAGAUGAAAGAAUGAGAAAAGAGCGGAUGGUGGAUUGUGUGUGCAUCUCGGAAAAAGAGGAAUGAGAGGUGAAUGAAAAAGACAGAUAGUGAAAAUAAAUAUAGAGGAACGACAUGGAAAAACAAGCCUGACAAAUUGAAUGACGAGAAAACGGGAAAAAAUACAGAAUACGAUAAAAGAGGGGAUCUAAAAAUACAGUGAAAUUGUACGACAGGAACGUGAAGGUCAGUCAAUGAAAAGAGUGAUAAAGAUUAAAAUGAUAGACUGGAAAUUAAGAAAAAAAGAGAGAGAAUAUGAUUUUGUAUAAUGAUGAAUGAAUGACCAUGAAAAAUAAAGCCUUAGGUAGAUGAAGAAGGGAAUAGUAAAACGAAAAUGAAAAACAUGAAUAAUGAAAAAAAUAGAAAAGAAAACGGACACUCGAUAAGGUGAAGAUAGAUAUGAAGAAAACCCAGACUUGUUCAAAUGAAAGAAAAGAAAAAAAAAAUGUGAGACAGAGAGUAAAGGGGAAACUAGUGGAAAGCUGAGUGAGUGAAUUACGUCAGAAAAAAACACGAGGAAAAAGGUGAUGCCCGAAAAAAAAGUGGAGUGUGAAUAAGAAAAGAAAAAAAGAAAGGAAAAAAAAUAAUAGUGGAAUGUCAAAUAAGAACAGAUCAACGAGAGAGAGAGAGAGAGAGAGAGAGAGAGAGAGAGAGAGAGAGAGAGAGAGAGAGAGAGAGAGAGAGAGAGAGAGAGAGA